rnacentral:rRNA from 1 species
AUUGAACGCUGGCGGCAUGCUUUACACAUGCAAGUCGAACGGUAACAGGCCUUCGGGUGCUGUCGAGUGGCGAACGGGUGAGUAAUGCAUCGGAACGUGCCCAGAGGUGGGGGAUAACGCAGCGAAAGCUGUGCUAAUACCUCAUGUGAUCUGAGGUUGAAAGCGGGGUACCAGGCAGCAAUGUUUGGCCUCGCGCCUUUGUUGCGGCCGAUGUCAGAUUAGGUAGUUGGUGGGGUAAAGGCCUACCAAGCCGACGAUCUGUAGCUGGUCUGAGAGGACGAACAGCCACACUGGGACUGAGACACGGCCCAGACUCCUACGGGAGGCAGCAGUGGGGAAUUUUGGACAAUGGGCGCAAGCCUGAUCCAGCAAUGCCGCGUGCGGGAAGAAGGCCUUCGGGUUGUAAACCGCUUUUGUACGGAACGAAAAGGCUCUGGCUAAUACCUGGGGCUGAUGACGGUACCGUAAGAAUAAGCACCGGCUAACUACGUG